rnacentral:rRNA from 1 species
UACGGGGGGGGCAAGCGUUGUUCGGAAUUACUGGGCGUAAAGGGCUCGUAGGCGGCCAACUAAGUCGGACGUGAAAUCCCCGGGCUCAACCCGGGAACUGCGUCCGAUACUGGGGGGCUUGAAUUCGGGAGAGGGAUGCGGAAUUCCAGGUGUAGCGGUGAAAUGCGUAGAUAUCUGGAGGAACACCGGUGGCGAAGGCGGCCUGCUGGGCUGUUGCUGACACUGAGGCGCGACAGCGUGGGGAGCAAACAGG